CCUACGGGUGGCAGCAGUGGGGAAUAUUGCACAAUGGGGGAAACCCUGAUGCAGCGACGCCGCGUGAGUGAAGAAGUAUUUCGGUAUGUAAAGCUCUAUCAGCAGGGAAGAAAAAAGACGGUACCUGACUAAGAAGCCCCGGCUAACUACGUGCCAGCAGCCGCGGUAAUACGUAGGGGGCAAGCGUUAUCCGGAUUUACUGGGUGUAAAGGGAGCGUAGACGGUAUGGCAAGUCUGAAGUGAAAGCCCAGGCCUUAACCCGGGGACUGCUUUGGAAACUGUUAGACUAGAGUGCUGGAGAGGUAAGUGGAAUUCCUAGUGUAGCGGUGAAAUGCGUAGAUAUUAGGAGGAACACCAGUGGCGAAGGCGGCUUACUGGACAGUAACUGACGUUGAGGCUCGAAAGCGUGGGGAGCAAACAGGAUUAGAUACCCGAGUAGUC
rnacentral:rRNA from 1 species